CCUCGGGAGGCAGCAGUGGGGAAUAUUGGACAAUGGGCGAAAGCCUGAUCCAGCCAUGCCGCGUGUGUGAAGAAGGCCUUCGGGUUGUAAAGCACUUUCAGUGGGGAAGAAAGCCUUGGGGCUAAUACCCUCGAGGAAGGACAUCACCCACAGAAGAAGCACCGGCUAACUCCGUGCCAGCAGCCGCGGUAAUACGGAGGGUGCGAGCGUUAAUCGGAAUUACUGGGCGUAAAGCGCGCGUAGGCGGUCUGAUAAGCCGGUUGUGAAAGCCCCGGGCUCAACCUGGGAACGGCAUCCGGAACUGUCAGGCUAGAGUGCAGGAGAGGAAGGUAGAAUUCCCGGUGUAGCGGUGAAAUGCGUAGAGAUCGGGAGGAAUACCAGUGGCGAAGGCGGCCUUCUGGACUGACACUGACGCUGAGGUGCGAAAGCGUGGGUAGCAAACAGGAUUAGAUACCCGUGUAGUC
rnacentral:rRNA from 1 species